GUCAGGAGGGGUGGCUGUGAAGAGAUAACUCUCGUCCAAGGUAAGGAGCAGCGGCUGCGCUGCUGGAACAUCUGUGAAGAGAUACCCCACGUCCAAGGAGGAAACACAGAACAGGCUCCAUCUUGAGAGCAGGACUCGAUCUUGGGCCGGACUGUGGACUUUAAGCUAUAUGCCCAGUAUCUAUGGAAACGACAUACCAAUUGGAAAACCAGACCCCCCUGGAUGGAAGAGACCCAAGACUCAUACCUAGACUCUCCGUCACCUAAAAGAAUACCCUAAUUAUCUGUGUAACUGAAUAGAAUCAUAAAUUCUAUUAUGCUUAUUGGGGUGUGACCACAGGCCUAUUGAUAAUUGUCCAUUGUUAACUACCUAGGCUUAAGGCAUUUGAAUCCUAAGUUAACUUUGAUUGUAUCUUUCUUUUCCUUUGUUCAGACUAGUUUCAGGGAAUUUGGGGAGGUAGGUUUGGGCACCUCCCAAAGUGGUGGGAGAUUAAAUAAGAUUUUCACAAAAACUGGUCAGGGUCCAAGACUCUGCCUUGGGCCCACCAGUGUAAUAAACUGCACUUCACUAUCUGCAUUGUCCUUCUGAGUGAGUUUGCUUCCCAGAACGCAUGGCUACAACAUUUGGUGCAUUGGCCAGGAAACUCCUCACUUUGAGGAGACAAGUCUCAUUUGGGACUACUCCAAGGCCUUGCAGCUCAAAUCUUCUAGAGAGGGGAGGCGCCUUGCCCUUCUGGAAGGAUUCUGCUUCUCAACGCCUGGACCUUUUCACGUUAGCAGGUAGUGGAUGGCAGCAGGGGAACUGAGCAUUCAGUUAAAGUUGCAGGUGUCACUCCCUGGAUCCACCACAUGAGGGUGAAGAGAGCAUACCACAUAGACCUGGAGGACGCCGAGCGGACUACACAAAAGGACCCCACUGAUCCCCGUGAAACAAAGGUCAUCUUAAAGAAGAAAAAGAGAUGAAGCUACAAUCAACUGCUGCUACAAGGACUUGCCAAUAUCAUCUUGAGAUUAACCAUAGUUUUAGCACAAGGAGGGACCUGUGCUAUAAUUAAAGCUAAAUGUUGUGUAUCUAUUCCUGAUUUAUCUGGCAAUAUAUCAGCCACCCUAGAUGACAUGAAAGAUCAGGUAAAAGCUAUGUCUGAUGAUAAUUUUCCUUUUUGGACUGUGGUCCUAUCUUGGGUGAAGGGUGAUUAGUGGAAAACUAUAUUUACCAUUGUUAUAGUUACCUUGAUAGUUCUGCUUUGUGGACCCUGAAUUUUACAAUGUAUUAUGAACUUUGUAAUGCAAAGUUUGGUGUUGUUCUCCCAAAUUGGCAGUCGGAGAGCCAGGGUGCAAUGUAUCCUUAUGAAUGAUGCUCAAACUAUGAGUUAAGAGCAUCAAGACAGGGGAAUGAAGGAGGAAACAAACAGAACAGGCUCCAUCUUGAAAGCAGGACUCCAUCUUGGGCUGGACUGUGGACUUUGAGCUAUAUGCCUAGUAUCUAUGGAAACGACAUACCAACUAGAAAACCAGACCCCCCUGGAUAGAAGAGACCCAGGGCUCGUACCUAGACUCUCCAUCUCCUAAAAGAAUACCCUAAUUAUCUGUGUAACUGAAUAGAAUCAUAAAUUCUAUUAUGCUUAAUGGGGUACGACCACAGGCCUAUUGAUAAUUGUCCACUGUUAACUACCUAGGAUUAAGUCAUAUGAAUUACAGGUUAACUUUGUAUCUUUCUUUUCCUUUGUUCAGACUAGUUUCAGGGAAUUUGGGGAAGUGGAUUUGGGCACAUACACUUAGGGUAUAUAAAGUUUUCACAAAAACUGGUUGGGGUCCUUGGCUAAGAGGAGACUCUGCCUUGGGCCUGCCGGUGUAAUAAACUGCACUCCACUAUCUG
ensembl:lncRNA